GCGGAGGGAUCAUUACCGAGUUUACAACUCCCAAACCCCUGUGAACAUACCUAUUGUUGCCUCGGCGGUGCCUGUUCCGACAGCCCGCCAGAGGACCCCAAACCCUGAUUACAUUUAAGAAGUCUUCUGAGUAACCGAUUAAAUAAAUCAAAACUUUCAACAACGGAUCUCUUGGUUCUGGCAUCGAUGAAGAACGCAGCGAAAUGCGAUAAGUAAUGUGAAUUGCAGAAUUCAGUGAAUCAUCGAAUCUUUGAACGCACAUUGCGCCCGCUAGUAUUCUGGCGGGCAUGCCUGUUCGAGCGUCAUUUCAACCCUCAAGCCCCCGGCUUGGUGUUGGGGAUCGGCGAGCCUCCGCGCCCGCCGUCCCCCAAAUCUAGUGGCGGUCUCGCUGUAGCUUCCUCUGCGUAGUAGCACACCUCGCACUGGGAAACAGCGCGGCCACGCCGUUAAACCCCCAACUUCUGAAAGUUUGACCUCGGAUCAGGUAGGAAUACCCGCUGAACUUA
rnacentral:rRNA from 1 species